rnacentral:rRNA from 1 species
AGAGUUUGAUCAUGGCUCAGAUUGAACGCUGGCGGCAGGCUUAACACAUGCAAGUCGAGCGGAGAUGAGGUGCUUGCACCUUAUCUUAGCGGCGGACGGGUGAGUAAUGCUUAGGAAUCUGCCAUUUAGUGGGGGACAACAUUCCGAAAGGAAUGCUAAUACCGCAUACGUCCUACGGGAGAAAGCAGGGGAUCUUCGGACCUUGCGCUAAAUGAUGAGCCUAAGUCGGAUUAGCUAGUUGGUGGGGUAAAGGCCUACCAAGGCGACGAUCUGUA